rnacentral:rRNA from 1 species
GGUUAAGCGACUAAGCGUACACGGUGGAUGCCCUGGCAGUCAGAGGCGAUGAAGGACGUGCUAAUCUGCGAUAAGCGUCGGUAAGGUGAUAUGAACCGUUAUAACCGGCGAUUUCCGAAUGGGGAAACCCAGUGUGAUUCGUCACACUAUCAUUAACUGAAUCCAUAGGUUAAUGAGGCGAACCGGGGAACUGAAACAUCUAAGUACCCCGAGGAAAAGAAAUCAACCGAGAUUCCCCCAGUAGCGGCGAGCGAACGGGGAGCAGCCCAGAGCCUGAAUCAGUGUGUGUGUUAGUGGAAGCGUCUGGAAAGGCGCGCGAUACAGGGUGACAGCCCCGUACACAAAAAUGCACAUAUUGUGAGCUCGAUGAGUAGGGCGGGACACGUGGUAUCCUGUCUGAAUAUGGGGGGCCCAUCCUCCAAGGCUAAAUACUCCUGACUGACCGAUAGUGAACCAGUACCGUGAGGGAAAGGCGAAAAGAACCCCGGCGAGGGGAGUGAAAAAGAACCUGAAACCGUGUACGUACAAGCAGUGGGAGCACGCUUAGGCGUGUGACUGCGUACCUUUUGUAUAAUGGGUCAGCGACUUAUAUUCUGUAGCAAGGUUAACCGAAUAGGGGAGCCGAAGGGAAACCGAGUCUUAACUGGGCGUUAAGUUGCAGGGUAUAGACCCGAAACCCGGUGAUCUAGCCAUGGGCAGGUUGAAGGUUGGGUAACACUAACUGGAGGACCGAACCGACUAAUGUUGAAAAAUUAGCGGAUGACUUGUGGCUGGGGGUGAAAGGCCAAUCAAACCGGGAGAUAGCUGGUUCUCCCCGAAAGCUAUUUAGGUAGCGCCUCGUGAAUUCAUCUCCGGGGGUAGAGCACUGUUUCGGCAAGGGGGUCAUCCCGACUUACCAACCCGAUGCAAACUGCGAAUACCGGAGAAUGUUAUCACGGGAGACACACGGCGGGUGCUAACGUCCGUCGUGAAGAGGGAAACAACCCAGACCGCCAGCUAAGGUCCCAAAGUCAUGGUUAAGUGGGAAACGAUGUGGGAAGGCCCAGACAGCCCAGGAUGUUGGCUUAGAAGCAGCCAUCAUUUAAAGAAAGCGUAAUAGCUCACUGGUCGAGUCGGCCUGCGCGGAAGAUGUAACGGGGCUAAACCAUGCACCGAAGCUGCGGCAGCGACGCUUAUGCGUUGUUGGGUAGGGGAGCGUUCUGUAAGCCUGCGAAGGUGUGCUGUGAGGCAUGCUGGAGGUAUCAGAAGUGCGAAUGCUGACAUAAGUAACGAUAAAGCGGGUGAAAAGCCCGCUCGCCGGAAGACCAAGGGUUCCUGUCCAACGUUAAUCGGGGCAGGGUGAGUCGACCCCUAAGGCGAGGCCGAAAGGCGUAGUCGAUGGGAAACAGGUUAAUAUUCCUGUACUUGGUGUUACUGCGAAGGGGGACGGAGAAGGCUAUGUUGGCCGGGCGACGGUUGUCCCGGUUUAAGCGUGUAGGCUGGUUUUCCGAGCAAAUCCGGAAAAUCAAGGCUGAGGCGUGAUGACGAGGCACUACGGUGCUGAAGCAACAAAUGCCCUGCUUCCGUGAAAAGCCUCUAAGCAUCAGGUAACAUCAAAUCGUACCCCAAACCGACACAGGUGGUCAGGUAGAGAAUACCAAGGCGCUUGAGAGAACUCGGGUGAAGGAACUAGGCAAAAUGGUGCCGUAACUUCGGGAGAAGGCACGCUGAUAUGUAGGUGAAGUCCCUUGCGGAUGGAGCUGAAAUCAGUCGAAGAUACCAGCUGGCUGCAACUGUUUAUUAAAAACACAGCACUGUGCAAACACGAAAGUGGACGUAUACGGUGUGACGCCUGCCCGGUGCCGGAAGGUUAAUUGAUGGGGUCAGCGCAAGCGAAGCUCUUGAUCGAAGCCCCGGUAAACGGCGGCCGUAACUAUAACGGUCCUAAGGUAGCGAAAUUCCUUGUCGGGUAAGUUCCGACCUGCACGAAUGGCGUAAUGAUGGCCAGGCUGUCUCCACCCGAGACUCAGUGAAAUUGAACUCGCUGUGAAGAUGCAGUGUACCCGCGGCAAGACGGAAAGACCCCGUGAACCUUUACUAUAGCUUGACACUGAACAUUGAGCCUUGAUGUGUAGGAUAGGUGGGAGGCUUUGAAGUGUGGACGCCAGUCUGCAUGGAGCCGGCCUUGAAAUACCACCCUUUAAUGUUUGAUGUUCUAACGUGGACCCGUGAUCCGGGUUGCGGACAGUGUCUGGUGGGUAGUUUGACUGGGGCGGUCUCCUCCUAAAGAGUAACGGAGGAGCACGAAGGUUGGCUAAUCCCGGUCGGACAUCAGGAGGUUAGUGCAAUGGCAUAAGCCAGCUUGACUGCGAGCGUGACGGCGCGAGCAGGUGCGAAAGCAGGUCAUAGUGAUCCGGUGGUUCUGAAUGGAAGGGCCAUCGCUCAACGGAUAAAAGGUACUCCGGGGAUAACAGGCUGAUACCGCCCAAGAGUUCAUAUCGACGGCGGUGUUUGGCACCUCGAUGUCGGCUCAUCACAUCCUGGGGCUGAAGUAGGUCCCAAGGGUAUGGCUGUUCGCCAUUUAAAGUGGUACGCGAGCUGGGUUUAGAACGUCGUGAGACAGUUCGGUCCCUAUCUGCCGUGGGCGCUGGAGAACUGAGGGGGCUGCUCCUAGUACGAGAGGACCGGAGUGGACGCAUCACUGGUGUUCGGGUUGUCAUGCCAAUGGCACUGCCCGGUAGCUAAAUGCGGAAGAGAUAAGUGCUGAAAGCAUCUAAGCACGAAACUUGCCCCGAGAUGAGUUCUCCCUGACCCUUUAAGGGUCCUGAAGGAACGUUGAAGACGACGACGUUGAUAGGCCGGGUGUGUAAGCGCAGCGAUGCGUUGAGCUAACCGGUACUAAUGAACCGUGAGGCUUAACCUU